rnacentral:rRNA from 1 species
ACGUAGGGUGCAGGCGUUAAUCGGAAUUACUGGGCGUAAAGCGUGCGCAGGCGGCUACUCAAGUCAGAUGAGAAAUCCCCGGGCUUAACCUGGGAACUGCGUUUGAAACUGGGUAGCUGGAGUGCGGCAGAGGGGGGUGGAAUUCCACGUGUAGCAGUGAAAUGCGUAGAUAUCUGGAGGAACACCGGUGGCGAAGGCGGCAUCCUGGACCGGUAUUGACGCUGAGGCGCGAAAGCCAGGGGAGCAAACGGGA